AUUGAACGCUGGCGGAAUGCUUUACACAUGCAAGUCGAACGGCAGCACGGACUUCGGUCUGGUGGCGAGUGGCGAACGGGUGAGUAACAUAUCGGAACGUAUCCAAUAAUGGGGGAUAACUAAUCGAAAGGUUGGCUAAUACCGCAUACGCCCUACGGGGGAAAGCUAGGGACCUUCGGGCCUGGCGUUAAUGGAGCGGCCGAUAUCUGAUUAGCUAGUUGGUGGGGUAAAGGCCCACCAAGGCGACGAUCAGUAGCUGGUCUGAGAGGACGACCAGCAAGACUGGAACUGAGACACGGUCCAGACUCCGACGGGAGGCAGCAGUGGGGAAUUUUGGACAAUGGGCGCAAGCCUGAUCCAGCCAUUCCGCGUGAGUGAAGAAGGCCUUCGGGUUGUAAAGCUCUUUCGCAAGGGAAGAAAACUUACCCUCUAACAUAGGGUGAGGUUGACGGUACCUUGAUAAGAAGCACCGGCUAACUACGUGCCAGCCGCCGCAGUAACAC
rnacentral:rRNA from 1 species